GAUGAACGCUGGCGGCGUGCCUAAUACAUGCAAGUCGAGCGAACGGACGAGAAGCUUGCUUCUCUGAUGUUAGCGGCGGACGGGUGAGUAACACGUGGAUAACCUACCUAUAAGACUGGGAUAACUUCGGGAAACCGGAGCUAAUACCGGAUAAUAUUUUGAACCGCAUGGUUCAAAAGUGAAAGACGGUCUUGCUGUCACUUAUAGAUGGAUCCGCGCUGCAUUAGCUAGUUGGUAAGGUAACGGCUUACCAAGGCAACGAUGCAUAGCCGACCUGAGAGGGUGAUCGGCCACACUGGAACUGAGACAUGGCCCAGACUCCUACGGGAGGCAGCAGUAGGGAAUCUUCCGCAAUGGGCGAAAGCCUGACGGAGCAACGCCGCGUGAGUGAUGAAGGUCUUCGGAUCGUAAAACUCUGUUAUUAGGGAAGAACAUAUGUGUAAGUAACUGUGCACAUCUUGACGGUACCUAAUCAGAAAGCCACGGCUAACUACGUG
rnacentral:rRNA from 1 species